rnacentral:rRNA from 1 species
GACGAACGCUGGCGGCGUGCCUAAUACAUGCAAGUAGAACGCUGAAGGAGGAGCUUGCUUCUCUGGUUGAGUUGCGAACGGGUGAGUAACGCGUAGGUAACCUGCCUGGUAGCGGGGGAUAACUAUUGGAAACGAUAGCUAAUACCGCAUAAUAGUAGAUGUUGCAUGACAUUUGCUUAAAAGGUGCAAUUGCAUCACUACCAGAUGGACCUGCGUUGUAUUAGCUAGUUGGUGGGGUAACGGCUCACCAAGGCGACGAUACAUAGCCGACCUGAGAGGGUGAUCGGCCACACUGGGACUGAGACACGGCCCAGACUCCUACGGGAGGCAGCAGUAGGGAAUCUUCGGCAAUGGACGGAAGUCUGACCGAGCAACGCCGCGUGAGUGAAGAAGGUUGUCGGAUCGUAAAGCUCUGUUGUAAGAGAAGAACGAGUGUGAGAGUGGAAAGUUCACACUGUGACGGUAUCUUACCAGAAAGGGACGGCUAACUACGUG